UGGGGAAUAUUGGACAAUGGGCGAAAGCCUGAUCCAGCCAUGCCGCGUGUGUGAAGAAGGUCUUCGGAUUGUAAAGCACUUUAAGUUGGGAGGAAGGGCAUUAACCUAAUACGUUAGUGUUUUGACGUUACCGACAGAAUAAGCACCGGCUAACUCUGUGCCAGCAGCCGCGGUAAUACAGAGGGUGCAAGCGUUAAUCGGAAUUACUGGGCGUAAAGCGCGCGUAGGUGGUUUGUUAAGUUGGAUGUGAAAUCCCCGGGCUCAACCUGGGAACUGCAUUCAAAACUGACUGACUAGAGUAUGGUAGAGGGUGGUGGAAUUUCCUGUGUAGCGGUGAAAUGCGUAGAUAUAGGAAGGAACAC
rnacentral:rRNA from 1 species